CGGGGAGUGGCGCAGUCUGGUAGCGCACCACGUUUGGGACGUGGGGGUCGCAGGUUCAAAUCCUGUCUCCCCGACCA
rnacentral:tRNA from 1 species